GUGCUCACAGCAGCAAAUAUACUAAAAUUGGAACAAUACAGAGAAGAUUACCGUAGCCCUGCACAAGGAUGACACACAACUUUGCGAAGUUUUUUAAGACAUU
ensembl:snRNA U6 U6 spliceosomal RNA